GCAAGCAUGGCGUAGUGGUUUGAGUGUCGGACUAUGACUCUGGGGUCCAGGGUUCGAAUCCUGGCUCUUGGA